rnacentral:tRNA from 1 species
AGAGAGGUGCAAGAGUGGUUGAAUUGGCUACCCUGGAAAGGUAGUAUACUAGAAAUGGUAUCGUGGGUUCGAAUCCCAUCCUCUCUG